rnacentral:lncRNA from 1 species
CACUAUCUCCUUAAUACUGUCUGCGUGAUAGUGAGUUCUCUUGAUGAUUAUGGAGCUUAAAGAUUGAGUGAAUAUUGUCCUGCUGGGGUUUGGACUGACAUUUUUGUCAUUUUUCUGGGGAAUUUCUUCCCUUUGGAUUGAGAAACCUUACUUAAUGCUUGUACUAUCAUUGUAUCUUGAAAGAAAAGAAAUGCCUUUUGAACUCAGGGACUGAUAGGCCGAAGGGACUGUAGCCUUGUCUCAGAUGAGACUUUGAAUUUUUUAUAUUUGGAAUGAGUUAAGAAUUUUGGAAACUUUUGAACAUGCAUGACUGUGUUUUGCUGUGUGAGAAGGACAUGAGGUUCUGGGGUAUCUGGGUCAAAUAAUAUGGAUUGACUGUGUGUCCAUAUAAAACUCAUAUGGAAUUGUAAUCCUUAAUUUUGGGGCCUGGUGGUAGGCGAUUUAAUCUUGAAUGGGAGGGGGUUCGGGGUGGUAGGAAAAGGAGGGGUAGGGUGGGGAGGAGUAGGUUGUCAGUAGGGUGGUAGGAGGAUGGGGGGUAGUAGGAAGGGGGAGUAGCCUUCUGCAGAGGCAGAGGCUCAUGGAAAACCUCUACUAGGGCAGUGCACCUGUGGCUUUGCAGGCUUUAGCCCCAUGGCUGCUCUCAUGGGCUGGGCUGGUGUUGAGUGCCUGUAGCUUUUCCAUACUGAGGGUGUGAGCUGUUGGUGGGCCUAUGAAUCCGGGAUCUGGAGGAUGGUGGCCUCCUUUUUGGGGGCUCCAAGCCCAUAUUUUCCUUCUGCACUGCCAUAGUGGAAGUUUCUCAAGAGGCUUGGCCUCUGCAGGAGGCUUCUGCCUGGAAACAGUGGGCGGUGGUGUGGGUGCAGGAUCUUCUUGAUGCUGAUCUCCUGAUAGUGAGACCUCAUGUGAUCUGGUUGUCUAACAGGGUGUGGUACCUCUUUCCUCUCUCUGUCUUGCUCCUACCCCUGCCAUAUGAAACAUCUCAUUGCCACUUGGCCUUCUGGUAUGAUUAGGAAGGGCCUGGUCAGUGUGGGCCUGGUCAGUGAACUAGUCAGUUGGGACUUGGUCAGUGAGGCCUAUUUACUGGGGGAAUGGUCAGCCAGGGUCUGCUUAGAGAGGGUCUCAUUAGAGGGAUCGAGUAGUGCAGGUCUUGGUGAGUGGGGACCUAGUGGCAGACAAAUGUUUGGUGUCUGGUCAGUGCAAACCUGGGCUGCAGGGCUUGGUGAGUGGAGACCUGGUCAGCUGUGGCUUAGUGGUAGCCUUGUCAGAAUGGGCUGGGUCACUGGUGACCCGGUCAAGGGGUGCUAUUCAGUGGAGGCCUGGUCACAUGGCACCUAGUCAGCAGGGCAUGUCCUCAUCAGUGAGACCCUUGUCAGUGGGACCCUGGUCAUGGCAGCCUGGUCAGGUCAGUGGAACCUAAUCAGUGGGGGCCUGGUCAGAGAGGACUUGAUCAGUGGUGGCUUUUGUAGCACUGGUCUAUGGGGUGACCUGGUCAACGGGGGUCUGAGCGGUACAUGCCUGUUCAGUGGUGCCUAGUCACUAGGUUCCUGGUCGGGGCAUCUGGUCACCUCAGGCCUGGUUAGUAGGGACCUGGUCACUGGCAGCCUGUUCCCUGGAGACCUGGUCAGUGGGGCUUCAUCUGUGGGGCCAGGCAAUGGGGUCAUGAUUGGUGGAAUGUGGUCAGGGAGGUCUUGUCAGUGAGGCCCUGGUCAGUGAGGCCUUGUCAGUGAGGUCCUUGUCAGUGGGGUCCUGGACACUGUGGGCCUGGCAGCGGGAAUCUAGUUAGUGGGGCCUGGUGAUGGGGGCCUAAUCAGUGAGAGUGUGGUCAGGGAGGACCUGAUGUGCGGGAUCUGGUCAGCAGGGACCUGGUCAGUGGGGCUGCUGAGCACUGCUGGGAGGUGUCAGGGGAAAUGCAUGUUAUCAGGGGCCCUAUGGACAGCUGGGAUGGCCCAGUGGUGUCCAAUGGCCCAGUCAAAAGUGGACAAAGCAGGUGUUUGGAUGGACCUGGGAGAUCUUGCUCAGAGAUUCUGAAAGAACAAAGUCCCAUCAGGGCUCUGGAUCCCAAGACGCAGCAUCCAAGGUUCCCUCCAGGAAUCCUGGUGGCUCGGCUUACUUUGUCAUGUUUCAUCUGAUAGCAAAAAUAUCAGAUCGGCUGCACAGAAAAAUGGCUCAAAGUGCUUAAUGACCAGAAGAAAUCUGGGAGUAGCAAGAAGGUAAUGUGGAGAGGGGAGGACCUCCAUGACUGGUGUCUGCAGAGCCAGGGGUACAGGGACCCAGUGCAGUGACCUGGCACCACCUGCCUCUCAGAGGGUGGGUAGCACACUGUCCUUACCUGGGGGACAGCAGGCCUGGUCACCGGCUUUUCUCCCUGUCCCUGCAAGCAUCACAUUGCUGGAAGAGAAUCUCAUGCCAGAGCUUGGACCAUCCCUAGCUUGGGGGUUAGGGGUUGUCUCUUGGUGACCUAAAUGAAAAAAUAGGUCCAGAUCAGAGUUCGUGAUGCAUAGCACUCACCCACUCUUUGAAUCAUGGGAGGGGAGGCCUAGUCCUAGGUAAACCUAAACUCUUUGAGGAACCACAGAGCCCAAGGCUGGAAACCUCCAGAAUCCUCCAGCCCCUGAUCCCCCCCCCCCCCGGGGACCUCUGUGGCCUGUCUCACCAGAGCACUCUUCUGUCUGUAGAGGUCUCAGGUGCUCUACAAGGGAGUCCCAUUUCAGGUGUGGGGCUGGGUAUGGUCACUCCUGCUGGAUGUCUAGAAGGUGAAAACCAAGGACCUAGGAAAAUACCAGAUACAGCCUUUCCACCGUCAUCCAGAGCAGGACAAACACGCCAGGUGGUGUCAGGAGCCCAGGUCUCCAGCUGGAGGGAAUGUCAACCCUGCAGUGGGAGCCCAUCAUGCAUCCUAGGCACAGAUGCUAACGUAGGCACCGCAGGUAAGCUGGGUUUGGUACCCCUUCCUGGCUUCAGAAAGAAGCCAAACAAGGAGCUUUCUGCAGAAUGAAACCUCUUUUCCAUCCAGAAGCACUGCUGACUGUUUGGUGGUUGCUGUUAGGGCAGUGAGCCUUUUGUCCAUUCUGAGAUUAGGCUGGUUUCUCCUCUUGGCCCUGGCCUACAGACCAUAAAGGAAAACAGCAAGAGGUCCCCAGCAAACAUCUACAGAUGGCCCUGGACAUCAGCCACAUUCAGAGAAACGUGUCAUGUUCUGGGAGGGCUAAGGCAUCGAGUAAGGCCUAUGGGGCUGGAGGAUCACAGGGCAGGUGGGGCAAUCCAGAGCUGUGGGGGCUUCCAUGGGAAUUGGGAGGUCCCAAGGCAGAGGUAGGGGUUCCACAGGAGGAGUCACAGAGCCACCAAGGGCUCUCCUGGCCCAGGGAGCAGUCAACACCAUGGACUGAACACCCACUGGGCUAAGCCCUGGGCCAGGCUGGGGCAUGUGGGGCCAGGAGGCAGCUCAGAGUGGGAGACAGAGACAAGUGUGCUCAGAGGGCACCCAUAUCUGCAUAUAACGUGGUCCUGAAUUUCUGGCUGGGAAGUGCUUCCAGGGUUUCAUAUGUGUUAUGGAGAUGCUUCCUCUCUCCAACCUCACCGUGCAGGAAUCCCAGUGAAUAUAUUGCCACCAUCUUGGAGCUCAGUGCCCUCAUAGUGUAACAGCACCAGCAGAUCUGCCUGUGCACAGACUUCCUGUACUACCUCACUCCUGAGGGGAGAUGCUUCUGCAGGGCCUGCGACCUGGUGCACAACUUUAGACACCAUCAUCCUGGAGCGGCACUGCACCCUCACUAGCCAGGGUGUUGAUGACUUCCUCAAUGCCAAGGCCACGUUCAAGAUUUUCGACUUCAGUGAUGCGUUUGUGCUGAGCAAGGUGGGCUUCUCCGGGAUCUUAAUUCAGGAGGUAGAAUGCAGCUUGAGAUCUAGUGUCUGAUCAAAGAACUUGAACUUGACCUGGAGGGCUCUGGGGAGCCAUGGAAGGUGCUGGAUAAAGGAAGGGACAGUCAUAUAUAUUUUAGAGAUGACUGUGGAAGGCUGCCUGGAAGGAGUGAACAAGAGCCAGGAGACCAGGGAGGGAGUUUGUGGGGCAGGUCUGCAGAUGGCAAGGGAGGGAUCCUGCUUGGAUGAAAGGUCUUCAGGGACUGUCUCAGGUUACACUCAGGUGCCCUCAGAGCUACUGUGUUCAGGGUUCUUGUCUCCAGGAUGAAAAUAAGGAGGAGUUGUCAGACAAGGACAUAUACAUGGAGGCUGGCAUCUUCAUGAGUGCCAAUCGUGGUCCUGGUGUGGACUACUGUGGGAGCAGGGGUCUCUCCAUCCAGGGACAUGGUGGAUGGACCCUACAUCACUCCAUUCUGCCCUUCCUUUCCCUCCCAUUCUCCUGAGGGACUCAAUGCAUGGGCACUGUCCAACCUCUGGUGCUGAAGCAGCCAAGAGACCCAAGCCUGCCUUGCUGCCACUUAGGAUAUGACAGCACAGCCAGUGGCCUCUACUGGAUCCUGGUACCCCUCAGAAGACACCCAGACACUGGGAGUGCUGCCACCUCGUGGUGCAAGAGUUCUGAGGGACGGCAAUUCUGAAGACAUUGAAUGUUGUUAUAUGAAAAAACUGAGGCAAAGAGCAAUACAGAGAGUUGCAAAAAUUCAUACCGCUGGUCCAGGUUUGAACCAAACAGUCUGCACCUGGAGUCCUUGUUUGUAACCAUGGCACCCUGUCUUCACACAUAUCUCAUCGUGGAGUUCCAUCUUGUGUUAGGCAUGGCACUGAGCAGCUUCUUUUAAGAACAUAAUUUGUAGCCAGGCGCAGUGGCUUAUGCCUGUAAUCCCAGCACUUUGGGAGGCCGAGGCGGGCAGAUCACGAGGUCAGGAGAUCCAGACCAUCCUGGCUAACUUGGUGAAACCCCGUCUCUAAUAAAAACACAAAAAAUUAGCUGGGCAUGAUGAUUGGCGCCUAUAGUCCCAGCUACUUGGGAGGCUGAGGCAGGAGACUGGCAUGAACCCGGGAGGUGGAACUUGCAGUGAGCCGAGAUGGCGCGACUGCACUCCAGCCUGGGCGAGAGAGCAAGACUCCAUCUAAAAAAAAAGAAAAAAACAUGAUUUGUAAUUAUGUAAAUUACUAAUUCUACUUCAAAGUGCCACACAGCCUUCAUGUGAUAAAAUGAAGCAAUUGGUAAGUCUAAGCAUUGAGAAAAAACAUUAUUUUUCCCAGCUCCAUUGCAACAGUUGGGACAGUGUUUUCUCUGUGCCUAUAGAAACCUCAGCUAGUGUGCCGAGGAGUCUGGUCCCUUUGGGGAAUGUGGCAGUCAGGUUCUGGCAGGGACCUCGAAGUGGCUGGUAAUGUCUUUCAUUACCACCACCACGUGACCUGGUCUUACGACCUGUUAGCUUCCUUCAUCAGGCAUGAGCACCAGGAUGGCAGGGGCCUCAUCUGUCCUGUUCCUCCUGUGGCCUGGGUCCUAGCACCAUGUCUGGUACAGUGUAGGUGCUCAAGGGAAGUUUACUUUAUAGAACUGUCUACCUGGGAGAUGUUGCUGUUAGUCUAACCUGUACCAUUUUGUAAACCUGCAGCCGUUUUGCACACCCUGGUCAGAAUGAAACAUUCCUUGGGAACUCGGGCCGUGAGAAGCAUCCUUCCUGAUCACCUGACUGUAGAAACAUCCUUAUCGCACCCUCCCGGGCAAAGGCCCAACAGCCUGACUGCAGGAACAUCCUUGCCAUAUCCUGCCGGGCAGCAAGCUCUACCGCCCACACCCCUCCUUCCCAGUCCCAUGAUCACCCCAGCCUGUGAGAGGCAGUUGGUGCUGGCAGUAAGCUGGUUUCCUCCUCUGCAGGGUUUUGCUAGUAAUAAAGGUGUUGCUGUUGAAGCCGUCAA